AUUGAACGAUGGAGGCAGGCCUAACACAUGCAAGUCGGGCGAGCAGCGGACGGGUGAGCAAUGUAUGGGUAUCUGCCUGAUGGCGGGGGAUAACUACUGGAAACGGUAGCUAAUACCGCAUACCAUCAGAUGAACCCAUAUGGGAUUAGCUUGUAGGUGAGGUAACGGCUCACCUAGGCGACGAUCCCUAGCUGGUCUGAGAGGAUGAUCGGCCACACUGGGACUGAGACACGGCCCAGACUCCUACGGGAGGCAGCAGGGGGGAAUAUUGCACAAGGGGCGCAAGCCUGAUGCAGCCAUGCCGCGUGUAUGAAGAAGGCCUUAGGGUUGUAAAGUACUUUCAGCGGGGAGGCAUGACCCGGAGAAGAAGCAACGGCUUACUCCAUGCCAGCAGCCGCGGUAAUAC
rnacentral:rRNA from 1 species